rnacentral:rRNA from 1 species
AGUCACUGACAUUAGAUACCCCCGGUAGUCCAGGGUGUAAACGCUGCAGACUUGGUGUUGGAGGCCCUUUGGGGGCAUUCAGUGCCGGAGAGAAGUUGUUAAGUCUGCUACUUGGGGAGUACGUCCGCAAGGAUGAAACUUAAAGGAAUUGCGGGGGAGCACCGCAACGGGAGGAGCGUGCGGUUUAAUUGGAUUCAACACCGUAAAACUCACCAGGGAAGACUGUUACAUGAAGGCCGAGAUGAAGACUCUGCUAGAUUUUCAG